ensembl:miRNA mir-236 miscRNA
UCGGUGACCGAUGUCCAGCGUCUUACCUGUUCAAUAUUUAGACUGACUAUCAAAGAGAUCUAAUACUGUCAGGUAAUGACGCUGGAUUGUCAUGUCAU